GGGAGGCAGCAGUGGGGAAUAUUGCACAAUGGGGGAAACCCUGAUGCAGCAACGCCGCGUGAGUGAUGAAGGUUUUCGGAUGGUAAAGCUCUGUCUUUCGGGAAGAUAAUGACGGUACCCAAGGAGGAAGCCACGGCUAACUACGUGCCAGCAGCCC
rnacentral:rRNA from 1 species